rnacentral:rRNA from 1 species
GACGAACGCUGGCGGCGUGCUUAACACAUGCAAGUCGAGCGGAAAGGCCCUCGGGUACGUCGAGCGGCGAACGGGUGAGUAACACGUGAGUAACCUGCCCUUGGCUUUGGGAUAACCCUCGGAAACGGGGGCUAAUACCGGAUAUUCACUUUCCUUGGCAUCAGGGUUGGUGGAAAGUUUUUCGGCCGAGGGAUGGGCUCGCGGCCUAUCAGCUUGUUGGUGGGGUAAUGGCCUACCAAGGCGGACGACGGGGUAGCCGGCCUGAGAGGGCGACCGGCCACACUGGGACUGAGACACGG